UUCAGCCACAGAGUGCUUUGCUGUCAAAUGACAGCAAAGCACUCUGUGGCUGAAUAAAUGGUGUUCAUGACUUUUUUUUUCUUUUUAUUCUUUUUUUUUCUUUUUGCACAACAGCAACAACAAAUCCACAGGAUCUUUUAAGGCACUGAACUUAUUUUUCAACCAUUUCGCCAGGAGGACAAAUUGAAUGGACCUUUAUAAAAAGAAAAACAAAUGGAAGGAAAACUAAGAAUGAUCAUCUUCCCAGGGUGUUCUCUGUCCUGGACUGUGAUAUUUGUUAUUUAUGAAAAAGACUUUUAAAUGCCCUUUCUGCAGUUGGAAGAUUUUCUUUAUAUAUUAUUCCCACCAUGGGGAACAAAAACAUUAAAAUCACAAGGAAUUGCCCAAUCUAAGCAGACUUUGCCUUUUUUCAAAGGUGCAGCAUGAAUACCAGAAGGAGUCAGUAUUUGAUUACUUAAAUGAAGUCUUUUGGUCAGAAAUUACCUUUUUGACGCAAGCCUACUGAAUGCUGUGUAUAUAUUUAUACAUAAAUACAUAUGUAUAUGUAUAUAUAUAUAUUGAGUGACACCUUGUGAAC
rnacentral:lncRNA from 1 species